UACAUGUGAAAAUGGUCUGCAGAUUGCAAAUUGAGGUGAAAUCUGUGCUGUGUUGCAUAUGAAGAAGUCAGUCUACUUCCCUAAUUGGUGCUGUAGAGCCUCUGUAUUGGGAAACCUCUUGUGCCUCCUUUCCUUGCCUUCUCCUGGGUGGAAGAGAUGAGAGAAUCAAGUCUUAAUCAAGACCAUUCAGCAAGAAAAAGAGUCAGAAUCAGAAUAAAGUUUAUUAUACUCUG